rnacentral:rRNA from 1 species
GACGAACCGUCCUAACGUUGUUCGGAAUCACUGGGCUUAAAGGGCGCGUAGGCGGGUUCCCAAGUCGGUGGUGAAAUCUUUCGGCCCAACCGGAAAACAGCCGCCGAUACUGGGAGUCUUGAGGGAGGUAGGGGUCGAUGGAACUUCCGGUGGAGCGGUGAAAUGCGUAGAUAUCGGAAGGAACGUCAAUGGCGAAGGCAGCCACCUGGCAUAAUACUGACGCUGAGGCGCGAAAGCGUGGGGAGCGAACAGG